GACGAACGCUGGCGGCGUGCUUAACACAUGCAAGUCGAACGGAAAGGCCCUGCUUUUGUGGGGUGCUCGAGUGGCGAACGGGUGAGUAACACGUGAGUAACCUGCCCUUGACUUUGGGAUAACUUCAGGAAACUGGGGCUACUACCGGAUAGGAGCUCCUGCUGCAUGGUGGGGGUUGGAAAGUUUCGGCGGUUGGGGAUGGACUCGCGGCUUAUCAGCUUGUUGGUGGGGUAGUGGCUUACCAAGGCUUUGACGGGUAGCCGGCCUGAGAGGGUGACCGGCCACAUUGGGCCUGAGAGACGGCCCAGACUCCUACGGGAGGCAGCAGUGGGGAAUAUUGCACAAUGGGAGGAAGCCUGAUGCAGCAACGCCGCGUGCGGGAUGACGGCCUUCGGGUUGUAAACCGCUUUCGCCUGUGACGAAGCGUGAGUGACGGUAAUGGGUAAAGAAGCACCAGCUAACUACGUG
rnacentral:rRNA from 1 species